rnacentral:rRNA from 1 species
GACGAACGCUGGCGGCGUGCUUAACACAUGCCAGUCGAACGGAAAGGCCCUGCUUUUGUGGGGUGCUCGAGUGGCGAACGGGUGAGUAACACGUGAGUAACCUGCCCUUGACUUUGGGAUAACUUCAGGAAACUGGGGCUAAUACCGGAUAGGAGCUCCUGCUGCAUGGUGGGGGUUGGAAAGUUUCGGCGGUUGGGGAUGGACUCGCGGCUUAUCAGCUUGUUGGUGGGGUAGUGGCUUACCAAGGCUUUGACGGGUAGCCGGCCUGAGAGGGUGACCGGCAACAGUGGGACUGAGAGACGGCCCAGACUCCUACGGGAGGCAGCAGUGGGGAAGAUGGCACAAUGGGCGGAAGCCUGAUGCAGCAACGCCGCGUGCGGGAUGACGGCCUGCGGGUUGUAAACCGCUUUCGCCUGUGACGAAGCGUGAGUGACGGUAAUGGGUAAAGAAGAACCGGCUAACUACGUG